rnacentral:rRNA from 1 species
CUGACACAGGGAGGUAGUGACAAUAAAUAACAAUGCCGGGCCUUCUUAGGUCUGGCAAUUGGAAUGAGAACAAUUUAAACCCCUUAUCGAGUAUCAAUUGGAGGGCAAGUCUGGUGCCAGCAGCCGCGGUAAUUCCAGCUCCAAUAGCGUAUAUUAAAGUUGUUGCGGUUAAAAAGCUCGUAGUUGGAUUUCUGCUGAGGACGACCGGUCCGCCCUCUGGGUGAGCAUCUGGCUCGGCCUUGGCAUCUUCUUGGGGAACGUAGCUGCACUUGACUGUGUGGUGCGGUAUCCAGGACUUUUACUUUGAGGAAAUUAGAGUGUUUCAAGCAGGCGCACGCCUUGAAUACAUUAGCAUGGAAUAAUAAGAUAGGACCUCGGUUCUAUUUUGUUGGUUUUCUAGAGCUGAGGUAAUGAUUAAUAGGGAUAGUUGGGGGCAUUCGUAUUUAACUGUCAGAGGUGAAAUUCUUGGAUUUGUUAAAGACGGACUACUG